GUAGGUGGCAAGCGUUGUCCGGAAUUAUUGGGCGUAAAGCGCGCGCAGGCGGUUCUUUAAGUCUGAUGUGAAAGCCCACGGCUCAACCGUGGAGGGUCAUUGGAAACUGGAGAACUUGAGUACAGAAGAGGAAAGCGGAAUUCCACGUGUAGCGGUGAAAUGCGUAGAGAUGUGGAGGAACACCAGUGGCGAAGGCGGCUUUCUGGUCUGUAACUGACGCUGAGGCGCGAAAGCGUGGGGAGCAAACAGGAUUAGAUACCCUGGUAGUCCACGCCGUAAACGAUGAGUGCUAAGUGUUAGGGGGGUUUCCGCCCCCCUUAGUGCUGCAGCUAACGCAUUAAGCACUCCGCCUGGGAGUACGGCCGCAAGACUG
rnacentral:rRNA from 1 species